rnacentral:misc_RNA from 1 species
UUUCCGUAGGUGAACCUGCGGAAGGAUCAUUACUGAGUGAGGGCCCCUCGGGGUCCAACCUCCCACCCGUGUUUAACGAACCUUGUUGCUUCGGCGGGCCCGCCUCACGGCCGCCGGGGGGGCAUCUGCCCCCGGGCCCGCGCCCGCCGAAGCCACCUGUGAACGCUGUCUGAAGUAUGCAGUCUGAGACAAUUAUUAAAUUAAUUAAAACUUUCAACAACGGAUCUCUUGGUUCCG